rnacentral:rRNA from 1 species
AAUGGGGGCAACCCUGAUCCAGCCAUGCCGCGUGAGUGAAGAAGGCCUUCGGGUUGUAAAGCUCUCUCGGACGGAAAGAAAUCGCGCAGGUAAAUAAUCUGCUUGGAUGACGGUACCGUAAGAAGAAGCACCGGCUAACUACGUGCCAGCAGCCGCGGUAAUACGUAGGGUGCAAGCGUUAAUCGGAAUUACUGGGCGUAAAGCGUGCGCAGGCGGUUUUGUAAGACAGGCGUGAAAUCCCCGGGCUCAACCUGGGAACUGCGUUUGUGACUGCAAGGCUAGAGUAUGGCAGAGGGGGGUGGAAUUCCACGUGUAGCAGUGAAAUGCGUAGAGAUGUGGAGGAACACCGAUGGCGAAGGCAGCCCCCUGGGCCAAUACUGACGCUCAUGCACGAAAGCGUGGGUAGCAAA